rnacentral:misc_RNA from 1 species
CGCACAUUGCACUCCCUGGUAUUCCGGGGAGUAUGCCUGUUCGAGCGUCAUUUCACCUCUCAAGCUUUGCUUGGUAUUGGACAGUAUCAUUUUCUAAAUGAUAUGUCUGAAAAAUAGCGACAGUUUUAAUAUCAACAAACGCAGUGAAAAUAUUCGUUCUGUGGUUAUUGAAACUUGUCAAACACACAUCAAAUCUUUGACCUCGGAUCAGGUAGGGAUACCCGCUGAACUUAA